rfam:Triticum urartu cultivar G1812 contig293622, whole genome shotgun sequence.
UAUAUACUCCCUCUGUCCCAAAUUUUUUAUCUUAUAUUUGUCUAAAUACGGAUGUAUCAUUUGUCUAAAUACGGAUGUAUUAGAUAUAUCCGUAUUUAGACAAAUCUAAGACAAGAAUUUUGGGACGGAGGGAGUAUAAC